AUGAAUAUUCCGGAAAGAAUUAAGAUUUUCGGAUGGAGAGUCGCCACGGGAACGCUACCAACGAAGAAGAAGAAAUGUAAACGCACAAUUGUUCAUGACAGCAUUUGUGACAUAUGUGGACAUGGGGAUGAGGAUGAAUACCAUGCGUUAUUAGCUUGCACGAAGAGCAGAGCGCUGCGUUUUGCUAUGAGAAAGGAGUGGAGCAUCCCAGACGAACAUGAAUUCUGGUAUACCGGAAGUGACUGGCUCCAAGUCCUGCUGGACAAACAUGAACCGGAGAUGAGAGCUAAAAUCCUUCUUUUGCUAUGGCGUUCCUGGUUCCUACGGGAUGAUUGUGUGCAUCAUGAGGGCAAAGAAUCAAUUUCAAGAUCGGUUUGUUUCCUGCUCGGGUAUGAGGAGGAGAUAAGAAACCUGACGAUGAUAGAUGGGACAAAAGGAAAAAACAGCUGGUCCUUAUCUGCCUCUGAAGCAAUUGAGUCUCGAGAUAUAACAAGUGUAGAAAGCUCUCCUUUGUGGGACAAGCCAGCAAACGGGGUGGUUAAAUACAGAUGCGGCAUUCCUGUCGGAGACUGGGCAGUGCUGGGCGGGCGCUGUUGCCCGCGACCAUCAGGGUCGGGUUCUUUUCUCGGCAGGCAGAGCGAUGAAUGUGUGCAAAAUUGUGGAAGAAGCUGA
rnacentral:rRNA from 1 species